rnacentral:rRNA from 1 species
UUUGCCUACGGGGGGCAGCAGUGAGGAAUAUUGGUCAAUGGGCUUACGCCUGAACCAGCCAAGUCGCGUGAGGGAAGACUGCCCUAUGGGUUGUAAACCUCUUUUGUCAGGGAGCAACGCCGGCUACGUGUAGCCGGACUGAGAGUACCUGAAGAAAAAGCAUCGGCUAACUCCGUGCCAGCAGCCGCGGUAAUACGGAGGGUGCGAGCGUUAAUCGGAAUUACUGGGCGUAAAGCGCUCGUAGGCGGUAUGUCAAGUCAAGGGUGAAAUCCCCGCGCUCAACGUGGGAACUGCCUUUGAGACUG